AGUCAAUAGAACCCUGGUAGUCCACGCCGUAAACGAUGUCGACUUGGAGGUUGUGCCCUUGAGGCGUGGCUUCCGGAGCUAAACGCGUUAAGUCGACCGCCUGGGGAGUACGGCCGCAAGGUUAAAACUCAAAUGAAUUGACGGGGGCCCGCACAAGCGGUGGAGCAUGUGGUUUAAUUCGAUGCAACGCGAAGAACCUUACCUACUCUUGACAUCCAGAGAACUUAGCAGAGAUGCUUUGGUGCCUUCGGGAACUCUGAGACAGGUGCUGCAUGGCUGUCGUCAGCUCGUGUUGUGAAAUGUUGGGUUAAGUCCCGCAACGAGCGCAACCCUUAUCCUUUGUUGCCAGCGGUUAGGCCGGGAACUCAAAGGAGACUGCCAGUGAUAAACUGGAGGAAGGUGGGGAUGACGUCAAGUCAUCAUGGCCCUUACGAGUAGGGCUACACACGUGCUACAAUGGCGCAUACAAAGAGAAGCGACCUCGCGAGAGCAAGCGGACCUCAUAAAGUGCGUCGUAGUCCGG
rnacentral:rRNA from 1 species